GGAAGAGCGACUGUGUUUGGUACUCAGGGGAAAUCGCAACUAAAGAGAGAUCAUUUAAAAAAUGAGAUUCCGUGCUCAAAGCUACUCUCUCCCAAAGUGGAAGCGACUGUGUUUGCUGAUUGGGUAAAAUCGCAAAUACAGAGAAGCUUUCAUUUAAACAAUUAAACCAAUGCUCAAAGCUAUUCUGCUGCAGCCUUCAAGUGCGGAUGUGUUUGCUGCUCUGAAGGAAAUCGCCAACAAAGAGAACCUUUGGUUCCUUUGGUUUCCUAGGCAGCCUGGUCCGUCCACAGACAGGGAUUGUGACGCACUUCCUGUAGCGGAUCCUUCCCAGGGGUCGGCUGACUGCGUGUCCAUAGACACUACUUAAAGAAGUUCCUAGAGGCACCUUCCCCAUGGUGACUAGAUAUAAGACAAGAGCUGGCUUGAGCUUUGGAUCCUCUGCAAUUGAAGUUGCCCUGUGGAUCACUUUCAUCUCCCUCAUCACACUGCACUGGUUGGCCUUGCAGCAGGUCCUGCUCAGAGGAGAGGGAGCCAAAGAUGCCUGUCGCAUCCACCUGAGGAACGGUCAGCAAGACAACGCAGCAACGCAGGUCAGUUCCAUCUGGGCCCUGUUGUGUCUUUCAUAGGUAGACUUAAUUUUUUUUCAUGUUAAGCGUUGCAAAUCUGAAUGGAUUAGGACAUUAUUGUAUAGAUCUAAAACCGUUGGCUCUGAAGAACCAGAUGAGAAAUCUAUUCAAUUAGGCCCUGGCUUCCUUUGUCCUGGCUUCCUCUGUUCUAUUGCUGAAAAGUGCUCCUCCUGCUGAUCCCUCAGUAUGUUCUGUCACUUCAGUUCAUUUCUCUUCGUGGGUGAGCAUUUACAUUUCAAAGCUUAGGCAGUAUUGUGGAUUAUUGGUGUGUGACAAUAAGGGCGGUAAACAAAGCAAAAGGAACAAUUGUGGUAUAGGUCUGACCUAUUAAAUUGGGACAUUAAAUUGGGUGUCUUCCUUUCACUGGAGAGAGUAAAAGGAUGAAAUACAGAGAAUUAACAGUGCAGUGGGGGCGUGGGGGGGUCCGCUAGACCACAAUCAUUUAGACCUACCAGUUUCUGAAGGGAAGAAUUAGGUACUAUGAUUUCUGACACUAUGACAAUUACAAUAAAGGAAAGGGGUUUCCAAAGUGGCUGUAAGAAAGGACAGAGCAAACUGGAGAGAUAGAGACACAGAGAAUGAGAGAGAAACAAAGUGAAUGUGUCUCAGUUAGGAUCAGAAGUGAGUGGGUGUGUCAGCAAAAUGGCUAAUGUGUGGAGAGGUAGAAUGUCUGCUACAUACAGAGGUGCAGUCUACAUAUUCGUACUGAAUAAUAAACGUUUUUCUAUGGUCUUGUAAGGUAAUUUAGUUUGAACAUUGUGGAGAUGCUUCAGUGUCUUUUUUCUCAAUUUUUGUAAAGCUGUCUGUAUCCGACAAUAAUUGUUGGCUUGGGAAAUAAUCAAUUUGGACACGUCAUCUGUUUUAUCUUUUCUGAUCCUCUAACUCAAACGCAGUUUAUAAGAUAUGCAAAUGACACAUAAAACAGAUAAUAAUAUAGAAACGUGUCUUUUCAAUUUUGGAAUUGUAUUUUGUUCUUCAUUUCAAAAUGGUGUGUAGAUUUAAGAUUUAAAGAUAUUUCCAAAAUGCACUGGAGUAGUGACGCAUGCAAGCACUGAUCUGAUAUUUUCCAAGCAUUGUUACUUCCCCAGAAGUGCAAAUUAACAGAGAUACAGCACAGUAGUAAUGUACCAUACUAUUUUUGUGUAGCUUAAUUUGAAAUCUAGGUUGUUGAUACUUCUUGUUAUUUUUUAUUAUUAUUCUUUUUUGUUGCAGUGAGGUUUGUGUGUGCGUGUUUGUAUUUCCAUAUAAGAUUACAGUUAUAUUUUUAAAUAUAUGUGAAAGAUUUUGUUGGAGAUCACAUUGAACAUAUGCUUUGUUUUGUGACAAAAUGGCCACUUUCAUAAUAAUAGCACUAGCAAUUCAUGACCUUGCCAGACAUUUCAGACUCUGGUUUCUUCUUACCUUUAGUUAUCCAGUUUCUUCAAAUUUCC
rnacentral:lncRNA from 1 species